AUGUCAGUACUACAUAUAGACUGCAGUGAUAAAUGUGAAUAUAAUAAUACAAGUGUUGAAGGAGGCUGUAGACAGCAAAACAAAGAGAGCAAAGCCUCAAAACAUACAUUUUUCAUGAGGAGGCGGAGCUUGUCAAUGUCCCUGAGCUGCUGCAGCUCCUUUAGUGUGAGACUCAGGUCACAUGACGUCUCGUACACCAGUGUCUCCAUGGUAACCAGGUCGUCGCACAGCACCUCCAGCCCAGGAAUGUUCUGCUCUUUUCCCAGACGCACCAGAGACAGGGCACAAUCAACCUGUGUGGACCAUACAAAAGCAUAAGCAAAUCUAAUAGAGAUGCACAACAUAAAUAUGAGAGAAGCGCUGCCUAACACACAUUCAAAUAAGGAAUUGGCCAAGUGAUUCAAAAUAUGAAUUACAAAUAUUACAUAAAAAAAUUAAUUUAUAUAAAUUUAUAUUUUCUUAAUGUUAUUAAAUGUUUAUUAAUAUUUUGAAUCCGUUUUUUUUUUUUUUUCAUUUUUAAAGUUUUUAGUAAAAAGGUUUUAGUUUUUUUGUCUAUAUAGUUUUUUCAUUUUUAUAAUUACCUCAAUUACCUCAAAUUUUAGUUUCAGUUAAAAAUGGCUAACAUCAUUCUACUUAUUAAUUUAUUAUUUUCUUAAUUGUUAUUUAAUUGUUUUAUUUAAUUAUUUUGUAAUUUCCGUUUUUUUUUUUUUUUCUUAUUUUUUAAAGUUUUUAGUUAAAGGUUUUUAGUUUUUUGUUCUAUAUAGUUUUUUCUAUUUUUAUAAUUACCUCAAUUACCUCAAUUUUAGUUUUCAGUUAAAAUGGCUAACAUCAUUCUACUUUUUUGACAUUUUACUUCUUUUUUUUUCUAAAUAAACUCGGGAAAAUGGGGGAAUAAUUAUGAGUAAAAAAAUGAGCCAUUAAAAAGAAUGAUGAACACACUGCUGGUGUCUUACAAAUCACACAGAACACUGUUGAUGCUUUGAAAAAACACAGAAAUCCAUUAAAAGAGUGGAACAUUUUUUUUAGUGAAAAUCUAUGAAAACUGUCAGAUCACAUCAAACAGAGAUGCAAAAAUAUAAAAGACUGACAAAUAAAAGAAAAAAUGCUACAAGUAAAAAUCCCCUAACAGAUGCGUAAAAAGUAGAACCAGUCGAUGAAAUCCAAACCGCCUCAGCAGCCCAUCAAUAGAGUUCACAUCAUGAGCUGACGAUUGGUAUUCCUCUACCAGCUGACAGGCAGAGCAUGGAGCCAAUCAAUAGUGGAUGCCUGCAUAGAGGAAAUGAUUGCUGCUGUUUUUUCACCUGGUAGAAAUCGAAAUCCUUCACAUUGGAGUUAACAAGAGCCAAAAACCUCCGGAGCAAUGCUGCCUUCAGAACAACAUGAUACAACACUCCAAUUACAAGCAAUGCUACUUAACACAACACCAAAUCAGGAUUAAAACCAGUAUGUGUAUUUGCCUUACAAACAAAUGAUUGCAAACAGCACAAAUUUGUUUAUGCACACCUGGCUUUGGUUGAACAAAGUAUUGAUCUCUAUAUGCACAAACGUCCAUCUUUCUUAGCCGUUCUUCCCUUCUGUCUCAGGACCAAGCAGGCAGAGCUCAGAUGAACAGAUCUCACACCCUUUUAUUAUACUAUAUUUCUUUUUUCUAUUUUUUUUUUACUUUCAAUCUGCUCCCAAGGGCUGCCCAUCCUCCUUCCCUCACUUCACAUCAAGCUCUCUCAGAGCAGCCCUUUCUCCUUGCUUUAACCUCUGUCCUGACAGAGUGAUGUCUCUUCUGCUCUGCAGCACUUCCUGAAACAGUCUGCGCCUACAGCUGAGUGAUAGCAGUUGUCAUUAUGGUCAUAUUCAGUGAGGACAAAAAGUUUGAGACUAGUCAUACAGCUAAAUUCAAAUUCUUGUCCUAAAAAAGAAAAUUAUGGACAUUCAGGCCGAAGACCACAAAUUAUUACUUUAAAUAAGACUUUAUUUGGAAUAACUAAAGUUCUUCAGGUUACUACCAAAACAUCUAGGCACCAAUGACUUUCAAACUUAGAAAAUAUUAUUUAAAAUACUGCUCAAUAGUUGACUUUUGUAAAAUAUAUGCACAUAUUACAGUAGAAAGAGCUUAUGAAGGUUCCUUUUGAGAUAUGUAUCUUUAAAAAGGAUGGGUGGGUGGAUGGAUGGAUGGAUGAAAGAAGAAGAAAGGCCAAUCAAUAGUGGAUGCCUGCAUAGAGGAAAUGAUUGCUGCUGUUUUUUCACCUGGUAGAAAUCGAAAUCCUUCACAUUGGAGUUAACAAGAGCCAAAAACCUCCGGAGCAAUGCUGCCUUCAGAACAACAUGAUACAACACUCCAAUUACAAGCAAUGCUACUUAACACAACACCAAAUCAGGAUUAAAACCAGUAUGUGUAUUUGCCUUACAAACAAAUGAUUGCAAACAGCACAAAUUUGUUUAUGCACACCUGGCUUUGGUUGAACAAAGUAUUGAUCUCUAUAUGCACAAACGUCCAUCUUU
rnacentral:lncRNA from 1 species